GAUGAACGCUGGCGGCGUGCCUAAUACAUGCAAGUCGAGCGAACGGACGAGAAGCUUGCUUUUCUGAUGUUAGCGGCGGACGGGUGAGUAACACGUGGAUAACCUACCUAUAAGACUGGGAUAACUUCGGGAAACCGGAGCUAAUACCGGAUAAUAUUUUGAACCGCAUGGUUCAAUAGUGAAAGACGGUCUUGCUGUCACUUAUAGAUGGAUCCGCGCUGCAUUAGCUAGUUGGUAAGGUAACGGCUUACCAAGGCAACGAUGCAUAGCCGACCUGAGAGGGUGAUCGGCCACACUGGAACUGAGACACGGUCCAGACUCCUACGGGAGGCAGCAGUAGGGAAUCUUCCGCAAUGGGCGAAAGCCUGACGGAGCAACGCCGCGUGAGUGAUGAAGGUCUUCGGAUCGUAAAACUCUGUUAUUAGGGAAGAACAUAUGUGUAAGUAACUGUGCACAUCUUGACGGUACCUAAUCAGAAAGCCACGGCUAGCUACGUG
rnacentral:rRNA from 1 species